AGUGAACGCUGGCGGUAGGCCUAACGCAUGCAAGUCGAACGGCAGCACAGUAAGAGCUUGCUCUUACGGGUGGCGAGUGGCGGACGGGUGAGGAAUACAUCGGAAUCUACUUUUUCGUGGGGGAUAACGUAGGGAAACUUACGCUAAUACCGCAUACGACCUACGGGUGAAAGCAGAGGAUCUUCGGACCUUGCGCGAUUGAAUGAGCCGAUGUCGGAUUAGCUAGUUGGCGGGGUAAAGGCCCACCAAGGCGACGAUCCGUAGCUGGUCUGAGAGGAUGAUCAGCCACACUGGAACUGAGACACGGUCCAGACUCCUACGGGAGGCAGCAGUGGGGAAUAUUGGACAAUGGGCGCAAGCCUGAUCCAGCCAUACCGCGUGGGUGAAGAAGGCCUUCGGGUUGUAAAGCCCUUUUGUUGGGAAAGAAAAGCAGCAGGUUAAUACCCUGCUGUUCUGACGGUACCCAAAGAAUAAGCACCGGCUAACUUCGU
rnacentral:rRNA from 1 species